UGGGGGUGGCGAUGAGGCUGGCGAGAAAGACUGCUGAGCUUGGGGGUUGGCUCUUUCAUCCAAAUGGCCCCCACGGAGAUCCGUACCUCCAGUCUCUCUUCCAACCUGAUCCCAUCAUCUACCCGAAUCACACAUCGGCUUCAGAAUGUCCCUGAGGUGGUCAACUAGAGCACCAAAGACUUUUCCCAAGAUGGCCUUUCUGCUUCAACGUGGGGAGAAGAGCUGCCCAUCCAGAAGGCUGAGGUAGCGCCCUAAAAAGGGCGCUCCCCACUCACAGAGCGCUGGAGUGCCGGGUUACACAACAGGAGCAGGGCCUUCAAUAGGCAGAAGCCAGGAACGCCAAAAGACGUCUGUCCUUCAUGUCAACAGUAUUGAGGACCCUCCAAAGUUAGCAGAAAGAGGAUGGCUCCUCCUUGGCAAACUCCAGAACCCACUUUCUUUCCCCCAUAAUGCUGCCUUUGGUGUCUCCCUAACCAGACACAAAUGGGUCAGAGGCCAACUUACAGUCAGUUCUGGAGUCUUUCCUUCACCCCACGGGUCCUGGAGAUCCAACUCAGGCUGUCAGGCUGGCCAGCAAGCUCUACCCACUGAGUUUGCCAUCUUGUUGGCCCAACAUCAUCUUUAUAAAUGUGGAGGUUGAGAGGGGGUUGAUCUGGCCCAGGCCACUUCUACAAGGGCUGCCAGUGCUCAAGGUUGUCCCUGCCUAGAAGCCAAGCACAUAAAUCUGCACCCAGUCACCCUCUCUGGGUCACCACUGGGGUCCAAAGACGAUCCCCAGGGGUCCAAAGACGAUCACUGAGAAACGACAAGACCACCCAUCUCAAUCCCCUAAGGGACCACCCUGCUGUUCUUCACGUGGAAGGGGAUGACUCAGCCCCGCUCUGCUCUCUGCUCAGGAACUGUCCCGGGUUAUGCAUCUCUCACAUGAUGUGCUUUCAGCUUCUCGCUACAGAAUGGCGGCGUGACUCUGAAUUUCCUCUCCGCACCCCGUUCUAGGCUUCUCAGCUCGAUUGCACACACAUAAUCUGAUGCUGACAGGAAAGACCAACACACGAGUCAGAUCCUAGUGGAGGGAAAGUGAGAAAGAAUGGGACCAGCAGCAAGAGUCGGUGAGAGUUGCAAAGAGUCUGUUGGUUUGAGCAGCCCCAGGCUCAGGAGGCUGCCAUCAUAGACUUGAAGCUCUGAUGAAAGUCUCCCUGCAUCCCAAAGCCACAGACAGGAUGCUGUAGGACAACUCUAACAUGCCACUCCUCUCUUUCUAAGGCACACUCAUGGCACUAUCUAGAGAAAGGUGCACUAUUUUCUCUCUUCCUUUUUCUUUUUGUGAUGUAAAGGACCAAACCCUGGGUCUUGUGCAUGCAGAGCUGGUGCUCUCCCACUGAGCGACAACCCUAAGCCCCCUUACUAUUUUCAUGGCCUCCCAGGUCCUGUGGCCCUACCUGCACACCCCUUUGGAUAACCUAGCACGUCCACCCUGCUCCUCCUGCUGUCGCCUGCCUUUGAACU